GCCUUCUUAGCGCAGUUGGCAGUGUGUCAGUCUUGUAAUCUGAAGGUCCUGAGUUAAAACCUCAGAGAAAGCA